GACGAACGCUGGCGGCGUGCUUAACACAUGCAAGUCGAACGGUGAACGAGGGAGCUUGCUCCCUCCGGAUCAGUGGCGAACGGGUGAGUAACACGUGAGCAAUCUGCCCCGAACUCUGGGAUAAGCGUUGGAAACGACGUCUAAUACCGGAUACGACGCGGGAGGGCAUCCUCUCCGCGUGGAAAGAACUUCGGUUCGGGAUGAGCUCGCGGCCUAUCAGCUUGUUGGUGAGGUAACGGUUCACCAAGGCGACGACGGGUAGCCGGCCUGAGAGGGUGACCGGCCACACUGGGACUGAGACACGGCCCAGACUCCUACGGGAGGCAGCAGUGGGGAAUAUUGCACAAUGGGCGCAAGCCUGAUGCAGCAACGCCGCGUGAGGGACGACGGCCUUCGGGUUGUAAACCUCUUUUAGCAGGGAAGAAGCGAAAGUGACGGUACCUGCAGAAAAAGCACCGGCUAACUACGUG
rnacentral:rRNA from 1 species